UAUCCACAUUGAAACACCGAUUCUCGUACGAUUACCGAAGUUAAGCAACAUCGAGCCUUGUCAGUACUUGGAUGAGUGUUCUCUUGGGAAUACCAGGUGCUGUAG